rnacentral:rRNA from 1 species
GGCGGCAGGCCUAACACAUGCAAGUCGAGCGGUAGAGAGAAGCUUGCUUCUCUUGAGAGCGGCGGACGGGUGAGUAAUACCUAGGAAUCUGCCUGGUAGUGGGGGAUAACGUUCGGAAACGGACGCUAAUACCGCAUACGUCCUACGGGAGAAAGCAGGGGACCUUCGGGCCUUGCGCUAUCAGAUGAGCCUAGGUCGGAUUAGCUUGUUGGUGAGGUAAUGGCUCACCAAGGCGACGAUCCGUAACUGGUCUGAGAGGAUGAUCAGUCACACUGGAACUGAGACACGGUCCAGACUCCUACGGGAGGCAGCAGUGGGGAAUAUUGGACAAUGGGCGAAAGCCUGAUCCAGCCAUGCCGCGUGUGUGAAGAAGGUCUUCGGAUUGUAAAGCACUUUAAGUUGGGAGGAAGGGCAGUAACCUAAUACGUUGUUGUCUUGACGUUACCGACAGAAUAAGCACCGGCUAACUCUGUGCCAGCAGCCGCGGUAAUACAGAGGGUGCAAGCGUUAAUCGGAAUUACUGGGCGUAA